GAUGAACGCUAGCUACAGGCUUAACACAUGCAAGUCGAGGGGUAACGAGAGGAAAGCUUGCUUUCCUUGUCGACGACCGGCGCACGGGUGAGUAACGCGUAUCCAACCUGCCCCCAACUAGGGAAUAACCUUGCGAAAGUAAGACUAAUACCCUAUAAUUUCCUCAGAUGUCAUCUGACGAGGAAUAAAGAUUUAUCGGUUGUGGAUGGGGAUGCGUCUGAUUAGCUUGUUGGCGGGGUAACGGCCCACCAAGGCAAAGAUCAGUAGGGGUUCUGAGAGGAAGGUCCCCCACAUGGGAACUGAGACACGGUCCAAACUCCUACGGGAGGCAGCAGUGAGGAAUAUUGGUCAAUGGGCGGAAGCCUGAACCAGCCAAGUAGCGUGCAGGAUGACGGCCCUAUGGGUUGUAAACUGCUUUUAUACAGGAAUAAAGUUAGCCACGUGUGGUUAUUUGUAGGUACUGUAUGAAUAAGGACCGGCUAAUUCCGUGCCAGCCGCCGCGGUAA
rnacentral:rRNA from 1 species